rnacentral:tRNA from 3 species
AAGAUUUUAAGUUAAAAAAACUAUUUACCUUCAAAGUAAAAAUUAUUAAAUAUAAAUCUUA